AAGUUUCAGCCGACGCAUUUUCGUCCUGUGCAACCACGAUCACCAAAAACCAGAACCUACAUUUUCAGCCAGCGCUACCUGCUCUUUGUGUUUUUCCCUCACGCCCUCCAGCACACCCACCCCACAGCACCACCACCGCCUCAUCCACGAUGUUCCGUUUUGCUGCCCCCAAGUGCCAGGCCGCCGCUAUCGCCGUGUGCACCAUGCACGUGCGCUACAACAGCUGCAAGAGCCCCGCGGACGUGUCGGAGCCGAAGGAGGAUUUGAGCCGCCCAAAGGGUGAGCACGAGACGCCGGUCCGUCUGCCGUUCUGCUUGUGAGCGCGCGCGGACACGUACGCGCAGAAACACUCCGCACACCCGCUGCCACCGUGUACGUAUGUGCGCCUUUGCGCGGCGGCCCCGCGGCUACAUGCGCGCGGCGUGCAUGCCGCGCCAUGCAACCGCUGCGUGAGCUCGAACAAGUGCGCACACACACGUCGGCAGAGUCGUGCGACUCUGCCACGACCGCCAGCGGCAGAUUCUGUGCAAGCGUUGCCAACUCACCCUCCCUCUCUAUAUGGUGCUCUCUCUUUUUUGCUUGUUUUCUGUCUCGUCCGCUGACUAGCACAUAACUCGCUUUCUUCCUCGCUCCCUCAUUUCUUUUGUUUGUUUUUCGAGUUUUCUUUUUUACCUUUUUUUUUCGUGCUCUCCCUCCCUGCGACGCAUUAAUUGCCUCAUGCCUCGGCAUUCCCCCAGGUACUCUCCAUUUUUUCUCCCUCGCGAUGUGGCCGCGCAGACUGCGUGUAUGUGCGCGCAUAGGACUAGCGUUUGCCGCCACUUGCGACCCCACCAAAACGGAGCUUCCAAAGAAAGAUGGAGCAAACAAAUAUAAACCACCCGACUGGGCGCCGGUCCGAGCCGCCGCAGGGCACUGCAGAGCUGAGUCACACGAUCAGGGCUGGCACCCUGCCUGCUUUUUCGCGCUUCUCGAUGCUGUGCUCAGGCUUAUCUCUCAGUCUCCAUGUGCCAGUUUGGUGCAUCCGCCUUCUGCGCUGUCUCUCCCUUGUUCCUCCCGUAUUUUUCAUCUGUUCAGAGCAUCUCUCUUCUGUCAUAUAUCCACAUGAUGCGCUACGCGCGUGACUGCACGCUUGUGCUUCAGCUGUUGGUCUAACUUGGCACUAUAACUAUGAAAACGGGAAAAAUACUUCAAAACGUAUGAAAAGUGCCUCCACCACGCUAUGCGAUCGCCAUUUCUCUUUUUUGUUGUUGUUUUACGCUUCUGGGAAAAAAAAAAUCAUAUGACCAUGCGACGUAUGUACGGUGUCCUGUGCAUGUGUAUGAGCGACUGUGGCGUGUGCUGACGGUGCAAUGCUGGCAGCCACGGACAAGUUCACGCGGGGGUACGCAGAGAGACGCGCCUGUGAGGUAGCCGCUCGCAAUAACGCCGCCGUAACCAUCGCCGCGUGUCCUCUUGUUUCCCCGCGUUUUGUAUGUGCUUCUCGUGAAUAAAUUCGUUUGCUAUACUUACGCUUGAUUGUGCUGGCGUGUGCGGUGGCAGGCGAGGGUGUAAGCUGGAGGGGAGCGUCGCGCGCAUGUGUGGAGGUGUGUGCACGGUCUUUGCUCCUUUGUUUGCUUGUCAUACACCUCACCUCCACUCACCAGCUCGGCCACUGCCUUCCGCGCUUGCUGUAGUUUGCCGUGCGCGGGGCUCUUCAGGAAACAGCGCAGCAGUAUGCCGACAUAUUCGCUAUACAUUCUGCUUUUUGCGUGUGUUCUUCAAUUUGUCUCGUGUUCUCACGUUGAGUUUG
rnacentral:misc_RNA from 1 species